rnacentral:rRNA from 1 species
GUCGAGGGGCAUCGCGGGAGCGAAGCUUGCUUUGCUCCGCCGGCGACCGGCGCACGGGUGAGUAACGCGUAUGCAACCUGCCCGUUUCAGCGGGAUAACCCGGAGAAAUCCGGCCUAAUACCGCAUGUGGCCGAGGGAAGGCAUCUUCUUUCGGCCAAAGGAGGCGACUCCGGAGACGGAUGGGCAUGCGUGACAUUAGCUUGUUGGCGGGGUAACGGCCCACCAAGGCGACGAUGUCUAGGGGUUCUGAGAGGAAGGUCCCCCACACUGGUACUGAGACACGGACCAGACUCCUACGGGAGGCAGCAGUGAGGAAUAUUGGUCAAUGGGCGAGAGCCUGAACCAGCCAAGUCGCGUGAAGGAUGACGGCCCUACGGGUUGUAAACUUCUUUUGUCAGGGAGCGAUUGGGUCCACGCGUGGGCUUAGCGAGAGUACCUGAAGAAAAAGCAUCGGCUAACUCCGUGCCAGCAGCCGCGGUAAUACGGAGGAUGCGAGCGUUAUCCGGAUUUAUUGGGUUUAAAGGGUGCGUAGGCGGAAUAUCAAGUCAGCGGUAAAAAUUCGGGGCUCAACCCCGUCGUGCCGUUGAAACUGAUGUUCUUGAGUGGGCGAGAAGUAUGCGGAAUGCGUGGUGUAGCGGUGAAAUGCAUAGAUAUCACGCAGAACUCCGAUUGCGAAGGCAGCAUACCGGCGCCCAACUGACGCUGAAGCACGAAAGCGUGGGUAUCGAACAGGAUUAGAUAUCCUGGUAGUCCACGCAGUAAACGAUGAAUGCUAAUUGUCCGGAGGGAUUGACCUCUGGG